rnacentral:rRNA from 1 species
GACGAACGCUGGCGGCGUGCCUAAUACAUGCAAGUUGAGCGCUGAAGGUUGGUACUUGUACCAACUGGAUGAGCAGCGAACGGGUGAGUAACGCGUGGGGAAUCUGCCUUUGAGCGGGGGACAACAUUUGGAAACGAAUGCUAAUACCGCAUAAAAACUUUAAACACAAGUUUUAAGUUUGAAAGAUGCAAUUGCAUCACUCAAAGAUGAUCCCGCGUUGUAUUAGCUAGUUGGUGAGGUAAAGGCUCACCAAGGCGAUGAUACAUAGCCGACCUGAGAGGGUGAUCGGCCACAUUGGGACUGAGACACGGCCCAAACUCCUAGGGGAGGCAGCAGUAGGGAAUCUUCGGCAAUGGACGAAAGUCUGACCGAGCAACGCCGCGUGAGUGAAGAAGGUUUUCGGAUCGUAAAACUCUGUUGGUAGAGAAGAACGUUGGUGAGAGUGGAAAGCUCAUCAAGUGACGGUAACUACCCAGAAAGGGACGGCUAACUACGUG